GUUCUUUUUGCCGCUGUACAAACCCAGAUGGGAGCGAAUAGCAAUAAGUGGAAAAGGAAGGAAAGGCAGUUUAGGCUCCUCCAGUCCUGUGGCCAUUACAAGGCUAAAAUCAGUUCAAAUGAAGACAACCAAUACCAGUCCUGAGACCCUGAGCUGUCAGUUUGACUUAAUGUCAGGAGAUUGCCAAAGUUUCAGCAUCAGCAUCUGUGCUCACCGGCUUCAACACGAUUCAGAAGAAAGAAAAGAAAGAAAAAAGCAGUUUAUAUUUUGUAAAUUACCUGUGUCAUGUGCAGCUUACAUACAGGGGUGUUGAUGUAUGCAAUAGAGAAUUUUAAGCUGAGCUGCAUCUUGAGAUGUGUUUUCCAAAUUGGAGACCUGGUUUUGGGCCCAAAAUUGCUGAAUGCUUCAGUGCUAAUCCUUUGUGUCUUGUGCAGCACCAAACCCUUCAUUAAUGUGGUAUCAAAAGAAUGAAAGUGUGUCCUCCCCCCUAGCUUUUACUACUUUAAUAGACAUUUACUAUAGUUUCAAAUAAUAUUUGUAUCAGCAGAGAUCAGCAAAAUUCCCAUGGUACAGAACCCUUUUAACUUUGAUCUAUAAACAGUUUCUGUAAGAGUGUUUUUACCAGAACUUCCAAAUUUUUUUUAAACACAAUAUUUGAGGUUUAGAUUACCUUAUUAGCAGUCAAACAUUUUUUAUUUGUACUAUUUAUUAUGUCAAACAGACAGAGAAGAGUUUUUGACAUCCAGCUGUGCUUCAAUUCAUUCUUGAUUCGAUCAAGGGUGUCUGUUGCAUUUUGUUAGUGUAGAACCAUUAGCUAAGAACUUUUUUAAAAAGUGCUCUUCAUGUAGUCUAAUCUACUAAAUUCAGAUAGUCUUUAUAAAAGGGCUGCAUUUUAUACCUUUUGCAUGAUAUUCCACCAUAAAUUAAGAUUAAACCUGUUGGUCUGCAGCUCCUUUUCUUAAUAUUUCUUCAUAUUUGAAAACAUCUACUCAUUUUUAUUUAUAUACAGACAUUUAUAUUCCUUUUAACUAGUGAGGACUUAACAUAGUGCAUUGCAAAAAUACAAUGAAAAAAUAUAUU